UACAGAGGGUGCAAGCGUUAAUCGGAAUUACUGGGCGUAAAGCGAGCGUAGUCGGUUAUUUAAGUCGGAUGUGAAAUCCCCGGGCUCAACUGAGGAAGUGCAUCCGAAACUGGCAGGCUAGAGUGUGAUAGAGGAUGGUGGAAUUCCCGGUGUAGCGGUGAAAUGCGUAGAGAUCGGGAGGAACACCAGUGGCGAAGGCGGGUUGCUGGGCUGACACUGACGCUGAAGCGCGAAAGCUAGGGGAGCGAACGGG
rnacentral:rRNA from 1 species